UCUGUUGUGGCUCAGUGGUAGAGUGCUCGCCUCACAUGUGCAAGGCCCUGGGUUCGAUCCUCAGCACCACAU
rfam:Ictidomys tridecemlineatus contig053053, whole genome shotgun sequence.